CCAGACACAGAAGACGGAUGAGAGGAAGUGGGGGGUGUCAGAGCUGGCUGAGAUCCUGACCCUGAUAAAAUAACUGCUUCUACAAAGCUUCUGAAGAUCACAGGAGCCUCCUGCCUUUCUGUUCCUUAGGUGCAGGACUCUCUUCUUUUUAGAGCCAAUGGUCCUUUCUAUCAAGGACCCACCAAGGAUGGAGAAGGACAGAGACCACAUGGCUGCAAGGAUAUUAGACCUCACCCUGGAGAUCAUCUCCUUGAUAACUGGAGAGGAUUACACAGUAGUGAAGAAGUCGUCUGGUGAGUGUGUGACACCUCGUGUGUCAGGAGGAUGGAGCAGGACCCAGAGCCCCAUCACUGAGCAUCCACCUCAUUCCCUGAUACAUGAGCAGAAGAUCCUAGAACUUACCACCAGGAUCAUUGAGCUGCUGAGCGGAGAGGUUCCUAUAAGGUGUCAGGAUGUCGCUGUCUAUUUCUCCAUGGAGGAGUGGGAGUAUUUAGAAGGACAAAAGGAUCUUUACAAGGAAUUCUUGGUGGAGAAUCACCAGUCCCUCACAUCACUGGAUUGAUCCAGUCAGAGAAAUCCACCAGAGAGAUAUCCCAGUCCUCUACAUUCCCAGGACUCUCCAGAGGAGAAACCAAAUAUCCCACUGGAUCAUCAGAGUACAUCCGGUUACAGAGGAACACGCCGAGGACGCCGAGGAGGCAGAGGAACACGUGCGCACCAAAGACACACAGGACCGGAGCGCUCCCAGAGAAAGACAUCCCCCUACAAUAGCCUCCUGGAAUUCGGCUAUACGGGGAAAGUUCUGGUGAAACGAGUGGACAGGAAAAAACCAUCUCGGUGUCUGUGAAAGUGGAAGACGGGAUAAGCGACUCCUAUGGACAUCUCCACUUAUCUUCCCAUCAUGAAGCAGAAGAUAACAAUACCACACAAGAUGAUUCAAUAACUCCUAAUGUACCCGUAGUCCUUCACAGCAGAGAUAUAUCCACUGAUACCGCUGGUCACAAGAAAUCUUCAUCCAAGCAAUUACUGAUUGGUAAAACAAGAACUAAACAUAAAUGUGGGAACAUUUUUUCUAGUGAGAAAAGUUUUAAAAAUAAAUCUAAUCUUUUUUUGUAUGAGAGAAAUUGCAAAGAUAACGGGUCAUUUUCAUGCUUGACAUGUGCAAAAUCUUUUAGCAUGAAAUCCAUGCUAGUUAGACAUCAGAGAACUCACACAGGGGAGAAGCCAUUUUCUUGUCUUGAAUGUGGAAGGUUAUUUAGUCAGAAAUCAAAUCUUGUUUCACAUCAGAGAACUCACACAGGGGAGAAGUCAUUUUCAUGUCUUGAAUGUGGAAAGUGCUUUAGUCGGAAAUCAAGUCUUGUUGCCCAUCAGAGAAGUCACACAGGAGAGAAGAAGCCAUUUUCAUGUUCAGAAUGUGGGAAGUGUUUUGAAGUGAAAUCAUUGCUUAUACAACAUCUAAGACAUCAUACAAGAGGUAAUCUAUUUUAAUGCACAGACUGUGGGAAACGUUUUAGCCAGAAAUCAAAUCUUGUGAAACAUCUAAGAACCUACUUAGGAAAGAAGACAUUAUUAUGUCUUGAAAGCGGUAAAUCUUUUGGUAUAAAGCAAAUAUUGUUAGACAUCAGAGAACUCACACAAGGGAGAAGCCAUUUUCAUGUUCAGAAUGUGCGAAAUGUUUCACAUCUCAAGCAAGUGUUGAUCGACAUCACAGAACUUACACAGAUGAGAAAGCCAUAUUUAUGUGGAAAAUGUGGGAAGUCUUUUAUUCAGAAAUCAAGUCUUGCUAAACAUGAGAGAAUUCACUUAGAAGAGAAGCCAUUGUAAUGUUCAGAUUGUAAGACAUGUGAGAGAUAUGGAGCUUCAUUGUGGGACCUGCUGCCUAAUCAUGUAUUUUGUGUAACUUAAAACGGUUGUCCAGUUUCCCAUAUUAAUGACCUAUCCUCAAGAAAGUGAGUCGAUCAGUAUGCACCGACAUUGAGAACGUGUAGAAGAGAUCUGGGAACAGAUUUCAGUCAAGACAUGCUUGAAUUUGAUCAAUAACGUGCCCAGUACUGACAGACUGCAGAAGGAGAGACAUUGCUUCUCUCUCCCUGUUAACUGUACAUGG